AUUGAACGCUGGCGGCAGGCUUAACACAUGCAAGUCGAGCGAGCGGCGGACGGGUGAGUACUUUCUGGGAAACUGCCUGAUGGAGGGGGAUAACUACUGGAAACGGUAGCUAAUACCGCAUACCAUCAGAUGUGCCCAGAUGGGAUUAGCUAGUAGGUGGGGUAAUGGCUCACCUAGGCGUCGAUCCCUAUCUGGUCUGAGAAGAUGACCAGCCAACCUGGAACGCAGACACGGUCCAGAUUACAACGGGAGGCAGUAGUGGUGAAUAUUGCACAAUGGGCGGACGCCGGAUGCAGCCAUGCCGCGUGUGUGAAGAAGGCCUUCGGGUUGUAAAGCACUUUCAGCGAGGAGGCGUUACUCGCAGAAGAAGCACCGGCUAACUCCGUGCCAGCAGCCGCGGUAAUUC
rnacentral:rRNA from 1 species